rnacentral:rRNA from 1 species
CAUACCUUAAUUUUUAAUCAUUUUAUCAUAUUAGAUAAAAUUACAUUUAAAUCCACUUUCAAUUAAUUUUUACAAAUUAAUAUUCAUUUAAAUAAAUUUAUUGUAACCCAUUAUAUUCUUAAUUAUAAUCUGCAUCUUGAUCUGAUUUAAUUUUUUUUAAUAAUUUUUAAAUAUUAUUUUUAUUAAAAAAUAUUUUUUUAACAACGAUAUACAAAAUAAUAAAUUAAGUAAAUUUAAUCGUGGAUUAUCAAUUAAUAAACAGGUUCCUCUAAAUAAACUAAAAUACCGCCAAAUUAUUUAAGUUUCAAUAAAUAAUUACAUACUAUUUUANAAUAAAAAUUAUAAUUUUAAA